rnacentral:rRNA from 1 species
UACGAAGGGAGCUAGCGUUGUUCGGAAUCACUGGGCGUAAAGCGCACGUAGGCGGAUGUGUCAGUCAGGGGUGAAAUCCCGGAGCUCAACUUCGGAACUGCCUUUGAUACAGCACGUCUUGAGUCCGGAAGAGGUGGGUGGAAUUCCUAGUGUAGAGGUGAAAUUCGGUAGAUAUUAGGAAGAACACCGGUGGCGAAGGCGGCC